ensembl:lncRNA
GCCCAGGCCCAGGUCCAGGGUGUGGUAUUACCUGUGGGCCCCCUGGAGAGCCCAAUCAGACUGAAGGGCCACAGGGAGCCCCGGCCCCUGCUCCCUACCCCUCCCCUCAGGAAGAGGAGCCCAGGAGAGCCCAUGGAGUCUUUUGAGCUGGAGGAGAUCCAGAGUUUCGAUGAGGGCAGUAUGGCUGGGAGUGCGAGUUGGAUGGCAGACAGCAUAGGUGAACAUGAACGAGGCUUCCUGUCGCGAGCGGAGUCCUGCGUGGUCCGAACCAACAGCUGCCAGUCGGACAGUAGCGGGUUCCUGGAGGAACCUUUCGUUCCUGCCACCUCCCCGUUCCUGGAGGAACCUUUCGGUCCUGUCACCUCCCCGCCUCCCCCAAGCCCUGGACUCAUGAAGGUAACGUAGACCUCUACAUUUUCUUUUGUUGUUUUGAAUUUGUUCUUUUCUGUGCUAUUACAGAUCGCCAUACUGCAGCUACGGGUUGAACUGAGUCGGCAUUUGUUACGACACAUCCUGCCUAUUACGCUAUGACUCAGCUUUAAGUUAUG